AUGUGUCUGGCUUUUCCCUUUGUCUCAAACUGGAUCAACUGUUUUUAAUGAUACAGAGACUGACUGUGGGGCAUGUUCUAUUGACAAUGCUUCCUCGUGACACAUUGUCCAGUGUAUGUUUGGAAAGCCUAGUACACGUUUUGUUUCUAUCUUACUUGUAAAUCAGGGAGAGGAAAAAUCUACAAAGAACUUGAAAGGUGCUAAUUUAGUAAAUACUUCAGAAGUUUCAGAAGUAAAUACCCUCUAAUUCCUGAAGAAUUUCCAUUGUACACUUCAGCUUUGAAGAAAAACAAAUCUUCAUGUCUUAGAAUAUUCGAUUUAUAUGUGAUCUACUGAGUGAUCUUGGGAAGAAUUCACUAGAGAGAAUAUUUUGUUCAGGUUCACCUCUCCCUUAAUGAAGUUGAUACCAGCGAAGUGAAAUCGAAAUCUGAAAACAGCCUCUGCAGAAAGAAAUUGCUCAGCUUAAGAUCCAAAGGAAUCUGUCAGCAAAAGGCAACUGGGGGACAACUGUGAUGCACUUAGGUGUGUGAAAGGGGCAAAGGACACCAAAUGGGAAACGCUGAAGAGGAAUAUAGACGUUCGUGAUGGAAUGUGUGGACAAAGACAGAGGCUCUCAGAAGAGAAGCUGGGACUGAAAGAAUGGGAGCAGUGGAAGGGGAGAAGAUGUUAUCAGCUACAGAGGAGAAAGGGAAAUUAGCUGCAGAAGAGUGUCGGAACUACAAGUGAGUUCAGCUCCUACCAGCAGCUCACACGAUGGCCAUUGUAUUACAUUGAAUCUUUGUACAGUGUUUAGAGCCAUGUAGCACA